ensembl:tRNA
GCCGCCAUAGCUCAGUCGGUUAGAGCGUGGGUCUAAUAAGCCCAAGGUCGCAGGUUCGACCCCUGCUGGCGGCA